AGCAUUGUAAACGACAUGACGUACGAUGACAAGAUUGACAACCUAAGCUGAGUGUAUCCAAUGCAGCAGGAAUGUCUCUGCCAGCCCAGUUACGAGUGGUGAUUAAAGAUUGUGAUGUGAGGAAGCUUACCCUUCCCUCUGGCAUUCCUCAAACAUUAGAAGCACUUCGUUCAAUAAUCCUGGAGACAUUCCAACUUGAUGGGGAUUUUUCUCUAAUGUAUGAAGAUAAAGAUUUUGGCAAUGAAUAUUUCACUCUGACCUCAACAGCAGAUAUAAAUGACAAGAGCACAAUCAAAAUCGUCCAAGUAGAGUCCACAGUCACCCUUACCUUCAGCCCUAUAGCUGAAUCUGACUUGGUGGUGAGUUCUACUCCAAGAUCACAUCAAAAUUCAGAGGUACAAUGCAGUGCAGAUGAUAGCUUGGCCAGUAGCUCAAGAGACACAGUGAUCCUUCCGGAUUCUUGCCGAUUGGAUCCUUGGCCUCUACACUUUGAGAUACCCAAGUUUUCACGUGAUGUGGAGUUGAUUCUGCAAGAGGCAAACAAACAGUACCAUAUGAAUGGUACAUCAUUCGAUGACGCAAGGGUGAAGGCAGCUAUUAGGCAGACUUUAUCUGAUUCAAUCUUCCAAUAUACAGCUUAUCCCACGGAUCACCACAUACUACAAGUUGUUGAAGCGCUUGUGGGGAAGUUUCCAUGUCUCAAGGAGCCUGGGUCCUUCUCAGGGAUGUAUGGCUGGCAGCAAAGUUUAAAAACGAGGAUGAGCAACUUCCGACGCAUGCUGAAAAGCCGAAACAUAUCCUGCCCUGAGAUUGAGGUGAAUUUUUUAAAAAGGAAGGAUUCGAGCAACCAGGCCCCGGCAAAAAAACAUAAAAAGGGCAGAAGUUAACUAUCUUCCUCCCUUUCCUGUGGGAGAAACAAAGGAGGGUUUGGAGAAAGAGAGACUUGAUUUGCUUUAUGAGGUAAAGAAGAAACACAACGAAAGAACAAUCACAGCCAAAAUGGCCAAAACAUUUGCAAUUCGAAGACUUGAAGUGGUGCAUGAUGGUCCCUCUGUCCAAGAGUUCAUAGCGCGAUGGCCUGGCUUAUUCCGAGAGGAUCAAGUGAAGGAGGAGUUCAGAAGAAUCACAGCCAUUCCACUUGAGGCGACAUUCCUGGGCAAACUUGACCAUUACACACCACAGCUUCUCAAAGUGAUGAGAGCCAAGGGAGGAGUGGCUGGAUCCAAGAUUCGUCCUAUAUUGGAUACUCUGUGCCAGCUCCAUAGUAUCGACCAACAAAGAGAUGCAGUCAUCUGCAGCCUCAUGGAGUACAUUUGGA